rnacentral:rRNA from 1 species
AUUGAACGCUGGCGGCAGGCCUAACACAUGCAAGUCGAGCGGAUGACGGGAGCUUGCUCCUUGAUUCAGCGGCGGACGGGUGAGUAAUGCCUAGGAAUCUGCCUGGUAGUGGGGGACAACGUUUCGAAAGGAACGCUAAUACCGCAUACGUCCUACGGGAGAAAGCAGGGGACCUUCGGGCCUUGCGCUAUCAGAUGAGCCUAGGUCGGAUUAGCUUGUUGGUGAGGUAAUGGCUCACCAAGGCGACGAUCCGUAACUGGUCUGAGAGGAUGAUCAGUCAACACGGGACGAGAGACAGGGCCCAGCCCCCUGGGGGAGCAACCGGGGGGAAUUUUGGAACAAGGGGCGAAAGCCGUAUCCAGCCAGGCCGGGGGUGGAAAGAAGUUUUUGGGUUUUAAAAGCAUUUAAAGUUGGGAGAAAGGUUUUUAGUUUAAUACUCUGCAUUUUUGACUUUCCGGAAAAAAUAAGCCCCGGCAAACUCGGGC